rnacentral:lncRNA from 1 species
CCAAUUACAUAGUUUUAAAAUUUCCAUACAUAUAGAAUUAUUACAAAACUUAUAUAUACAUCAUACUUUCUUAUUACAAUGACCAAUUCUUACAAUUUAACAAAGAACCUCUAUUAAAGUAUUCUAUCAAAUACAUAAUGGGCAUUCUUUGCAUGCCCAGAUUUCAUAACCUUUACUUUAAGGUCAACCAAAAUUUCUUAUGGAAAUCAUUCACUAUAGUUGCUGAUCAUAUAAUCACCAAACAACCCAACCAAUAUUUCACAAUUAAAUUACAGAAGUUAAACUACUUUUAUUUAUGAACUUAAACAUAUCAAAAUAGAUGAAUACCUCUUGAGCUUUGAUUCUUGCUUAAUCCUUGAUUUAAUUCUUCUUAAAUCAUCAGUUCUUUUAUGAAUUAUCAGAAUUUCCAACGCUUUCUUCCAACUUUUCAUUGCAAACACAUUCCUCUCUCUCUCUCUCUCUAUAUAUAUUUCUUACACUUGCAAUUGAGAUGUAUGAAGAAUAGCCAAAUGAGAUAUAUCAGUAUAAAUUCCUGAGCGUUUUGGGAGAGGAAAGAUAUGAGAAAUUGAGAGCUCUGAUACGUUACUUUGCUCAAGAGCUUGGCUUACCUGUAGUCUCUUCCUCUCUUUCCUUAUUGACUCAAAA